UACGUAGGGUGCGAGCGUUAAUCGGAAUUACUGGGCGUAAAGCGUGCGCAGGCGGUUUUGUAAGCCAGAUGUGAAAUCCCCGGGCUCAACCUGGGAAUGGCAUUUGGGACUGCAAGGCUUGAGUUUGGCAGAGGAGACUGGAAUUCCUGGUGUAGCAGUGAAAUGCGUAGAUAUCAGGAGGAAUACCGAUGGCGAAGGCAGGUCUCUGGACAGUUCCUGACACUGAGGCACGAAGGCCAGGGGAGCAAACGGG
rnacentral:rRNA from 1 species